UACGAAGGGGGCUAGCGUUGUUCGGAUUUACUGGGCGUAAAGCGCACGUAGGCGGAUCGUUAAGUCGGGGUGAAAUCCUGGAGCUCAACUCCAGAACUGCCUUCGAUACUGGCGAUCUUGAGUCCGGAAGAGGUGAGUGGAACUCCUAGUGUAGAGGUGGAAUUCGUAGAUAUUAGGAAGAACACCAAGUGGCGAAGGCGGCUCACUGGUCCGGUACUGACGCUGAGGUGCGGAAAGCGUGGGA
rnacentral:rRNA from 1 species